rnacentral:lncRNA from 13 species
ACUAAGGGUUUAAGGAGAGUUAGCCUGCACUAAGGGUUUAAGGAGAGUUAGCCUGCACUAAGGGUUUAAGGAGAGUUAGCCUGCACUAAGGGUUUGAGGAGAGUUAGCCUGCACUAAGGGUUUAAGGAGAGUUAGCCUGCACUAAGGGUUUGAGGAGAGUUUGGAACUGAAUUCUGUUCUGCUGUUCCAGGGGAAGAGAUCUCCGGGUCAGAGGGCAGUGGAUCAGAAGAGAUGGAUGAAGGAGAUGACGAGGGAAGAGAGGGACGAAUGAAGCGGAGAGGGAAGAGAUCUCCGGGUCAG